rnacentral:rRNA from 1 species
AUUGAACGCUGGCGGCAGGCCUAACACAUGCAAGUCGAGCGGAUGAAGGGAGCUUGCUCCUGGAUUCAGCGGCGGACGGGUGAGUAAUGCCUAGGAAUCUGCCUGGUAGUGGGGGAUAACGUCCGGAAACGGGCGCUAAUACCGCAUCCGUCCUGAGGGAGAAAGUGGGGGAUCUUCGGACCUCACGCUAUCAGAUGAGCCUAGGUCGGAUUAGCUAGUUGGUGGGGUAAAGGCCUACCAAGGCGACGAUCCGUAACUGGUCUGAGAGGAUGAUCAGUCACACUGGAACUGAGACACGGUCCAGACUCCUACGAGAGGCAGCAGUGGGGAAUAUUGGACAAUGGGCGAAAGCCUGAUCCAGCCGUGCCGCGUGUGUGAAGAAGGUCUUCGGAUUGUAAAGCACGUUAAGUUGGGAGGAAGGGCAGUAAGUUAAUACCUUGCUGUUUUGACGUUACCAACAGAAUAAGCACCGGCUAACUUCGUG